AUUCCAAAUGACCAAAAAGUCCUCUCGCUUUCUUUGCUUCCGUCCUGUUAACUUCCAGUGACCCAUGAGCAUAAUAGUCUUUUCGUGUGCUUCCGGCCUUCUAUCUCUCCCCCUCCGCCUUCCCUUUCCUCCUCCUCCUGAGAACGCAAAUGGCGUCGAUUUCGGCUCUAGGGUUCUUUCCGAACCUCACAAACUUCGCAAGAGGUUCUCCUCGCCUUCUUCCUCCGGAGGGUAGGGAUUUUAAGAGGGGAGCGCCUCAGAUUUCAAGGAUAUCUGCCCUGGAACGAGAUGGGCUCUUCGAGUCAGAGGCCUUCAGCUUGGGCGGAGAGACAAGAAGGAAAUUACUGCUGCUUUCCACAAUUGGGUUUGCUAUUGGUACUCUGCAACAUGCUCUGGAUAAUGGAAAGGCAGGAGCAUCUGAAUUUGCUGAUAUGCCAGCACUUCGUGGAAAGGACUAUGGAAAAACCAAAAUGCGAUAUCCAGAUUAUACAGAGACACAAUCAGGCCUUCAAUACAAGGAUUUGCGAGUAGGUGACGGUCCCACACCAAAGAUGGGCGACAUGGUAGUGGUUGAUUGGGAUGGUUAUACAAUAGGAUACUAUGGUCGCAUCUUUGAAGCUCGAAACAAGACGAAAGGUGGUUCCUUUGAGGGAGACGAUAAAGGUUUUUUCAAAUUUAAGCUUGGAUUGGGACAGGUCAUACCAGCUUUUGAGGAAGCUGUUGUAGGCAUGGCACCAGGAGGUAUUAGGAGAAAUGCAGGAUAAUAGUACCUCCAGAGCUGGGAUAUCCAGAUAAUGACUUCAACAAGCUUGGCCCAAGACCAACAACUUUUUCGGUACUCUAGCUUUGAAUGGUUGGUGCUAUUUCUGAACAGAUGGACCUGCUGAUUACUUUGUUUCUUUCACAGGGCCAGAGAGCUCUUGAUUUUGUUCUGAGGAAUCAGGGCUUGAUAGACAAAACUCUCUUGUUUGAUAUAGAGCUUCUUAAAAUUAUUCCAAACUAGUCUCCCUCCAGGGACGCAUCUGAUAUACUUUGUGUAUGGGACAAUCGAGAGCUGCACAGAUAUUCCACAUUACAAGAAAGGCACAAUCUUCCCUAGGCGCUUGGGAUUUUGCCAUCAAGACACCAGAGGACUCAGAGCAUAGUGCAAUACCAUUGAUUUUGCAUUUGAUGUGACGUGCAGGCUGCAUUACUUUCAAGAAGAAUGUGACAACCGUUCUAAAGUAACACUGUUCCAGAAUAGUUGCUUGUCAUGCUUAUCAUUAUUUUUGCAUGAAAGAAUGUUACUUUAGACAACUUUUAUAUCUAGUUUUAUUCCCAUGCUGCUAGUUUGCAA